UACAGAGGUCUCAAGCGUUGUUCGGAUUCAUUGGGCGUAAAGGGUGCGUAGGUGGCGGGGCCAGUCAGGUGUGAAAUCCCGGGGCUUAACCCUGGAACUGCAUUUGAUACUGCCUUGCUGGAGAACUGGAGAGGAGACUGGAAUUUACGGUGUAGCAGUGAAAUGCGUAGAUAUCGUAAGGAAGGCCGGUGGCGAAAGCGAGCCUCUGGACAGUUACUGACGCUGAUGCACGAAGGCCAGGGGAGCAAACGGG
rnacentral:rRNA from 1 species